UACAGAGGGUGCAAGCGUUAAUCGGAAUUACUGGGCGUAAAGCGUGCGUAGACGGUUUCAUAAGUCGGGUGUGAAAGCCCCGGGCUCAACCUGGGAAUUGCAUUCGAGACUGCGUAGCUAGGGUGCGGAAGAGGGAAGCGGAAUUUCCGGUGUAGCGGUGAAAUGCGUAGAUAUCGGAAGGAACACCAGUGGCGAAGGCGGCUUACUGGUCCGGUUCUGACGCUGAGGCGCGAAAGCGUGGGGAGCAAACAGG
rnacentral:rRNA from 1 species